CGUCCUAUUAGCUAGUUGGUGAGGUAAUGGCUCACCAAGGGUACGAUGGGUAGGGGUUCUUAGUGGAAGGUCCCCCCCACUGGCACUGAGAUACGGGCCAGACUCCUACGGGAGGCAGCAGUAGGGAAUAUUGGUCAAUGGGCGCAAGCCUGAACCAGCCAUGCCGCGUGCAGGAAGAAGGCUUUUUGAGUUGUAAAAUGAUUUUGUACAGGAGCAAAAAAAUCCCUGCGGGGGUUCUUGAGAGUACUGUAAGAAUAAGCACCGGCUAAUUCCGUGCCAGCAGCCGCGGUAAUACGGGAGGUGCAAGCGUUAUCCGGUUUUAUUGGGUUUAAAGGGUGCGUAGGCGGCUUAUUAAGUCAGUUGUGAAAUCCUAGUGCUUAACGCUAGAACUGCGAUUGAUACUAUU
rnacentral:rRNA from 1 species